GCGAUCAUCCGAGUCAUUGAUUUUGGCGAUCCGAGUCAUUGAUUCCUUGAGCAUCUUCGUUCAUUGAUCGUCGAUCCAGGCUGGUCUUCUUUAUAAGAUCUUUGCCACUGAUUUGACUUUAUGACUUAGCGAUCCAAGUCAUUUGCUGGCGAUCCGAGUCCUCUGUUUUUGCUUUGCUGAUUUGCCGAAUCCUCGAGUCCUCUGUUUUUGCUUUGCUGCAUUGAGCAUCUUUGUUCCAUGUAUACUUAACA
rnacentral:lncRNA from 1 species